CGGGCUGUAGCUCAGUAGGAUUAGAGCGCCGCGUUCGGGUCGCGGAGGUCGCUGGUUCAAGUCCAGUCAGCCCGA
rnacentral:tRNA from 1 species